UACGAAGGGGGCUAGCGUUGCUCGGAUUGACUGGGCGUAAAGGGCGCGUAGGCGGUUCGUACAGUCAGACGUGAAAUUCCUGGGCUCAACCUGGGGGCUGCGUUUGAUACGUGCGGACUUGAGUGCGGAAGAGGGUCGUGGAAUUCCCAGUGUAGAGGUGAAAUUCGUAGAUAUUGGGAAGAACACCGGUGGCGAAGGCGGCGACCUGGUCCGAUACUGACGCUGAGGUGCGAAAGCGUGGGGAGCAAACAGG
rnacentral:rRNA from 1 species